AAGCUUCAUUCUGUCUAACGCUUUAUCCAGCUACUAGCAGGGAAAUUCAGAAAAUUUCAGAGUUAUCUAAGUUAUCUUGGCUAUAAAACUUGAACUUUUUCAAGACUUUCCCCAGGGUUGAUGUUAAACUAUUCAACUCUGAGUAGGGGAGUAAAAAGGUUUAUGCAAAUAGUACUGAGUCAUAGUUAAGGGAGGGUUAUCUACCUCUAAGUCAUGAAAUAAUGUUUAAUGGAUCUAAUGCUGGCCCUUGCUCUAGAUGUAACUUGUCCCAUUUCGUAUUUAGUCAUGUCCCAAUCCUUCUUGGCAAUUGGCUAAGAGUGAGCCUGGUGAGACUUGCACCUAGGAACUUUGCAGUGACUUUCCAUGUCACGCUGGACAAAGAGAAACUUGGGGGGAUUGUCUUUGACUCUCUCGUGCCUAGAUAGGCCAUGAUACCUGUUUUAGUCCGUUCAGGUUGCUAUAACACGGUACCAGAAACUGGAUGGCUUAUAAACAACAGAUAUUUAUUUCUUCCAGUUCUAGAGACUGAAAGUCCAAGAUCAGGGUGCCUGUUUGGUUGUGUUCUGUGUUCUGGUGAAGGUCCUUUUCCGGUUGCAGAUUCCUGACAAGUCCACUGUGUCCUCACAUGGUGGAAGGGGCUAGGGAGCUUUCGCAGGCCACUUCUAUGAGGGCACUUCCCAUUCAUGAGGGCUCUGCCCUCAUUACUUAGUCACUUUCCAAAGACUUCACUCAUAACACCAUAAUCUUGGGGUUAGAUUUCAACAUGUAAAUUUUGGGGGGACACAAACAUUCAGACCAUAGCAACACCCAUUGCAUUCUGUGGCUAAGACACCAUGAAAACAUAUGGGAAUUUCCUCUGAAGCUUGUGAUUUCCUUAGUCUCCAACUAGGAAAUGGGACACAGAUUCUUUUAAGUUUCAGAUCUCCAGAUUUAAAAAGCAUAUUACGUAAUUUCAUCCUCCCUUUCAGACUUAACCUGUGGGUGAAGGUAGCUGUUGAAGAGAAGAUGUAGGCUGUCUGUCCCUAACUCCAUAGAAUAUUUUUCUUCUUCUUUCCUUCUCCGAAUAGAAGGUAUUUUAUAUAAUAUGGGAAGGGGAGUGAGACACGCUGGUCCUUGCUGACCCAGGUCAUUUGAGCUUAAAGAGUAAAUUUGCCACCUUUGUUCUCUUGUCUGUUUUGACAACUCCACCUCCCAGGCCCAAGGCAAUGGUAGCUCUAAGAGCCAAAUCUAAGAGGGGGAAAGUCACAGGUUUUAAGAGUGUGUGAGAGAAGAAAUAAACACCUGGAAUCAAGUUAUAUUUCUACCGCCAGUUUUCUCUAGAAACUCGAUGCUUAUACUCAAUCAAGAAUACAGAUACUAGUGAAUUUUAAACACAAUUUUAAAUGAGGAUUACUAUAUCCCAUGCACCUGAAUGGAAAGAGAAAUAUUUGAUCGGUUGCUCAGAUGUUUCCAGAUAUUUAGUAUUAUGUAUACAAUAAAAAUGCCUGAAUUUGUCCCAUUCUGGGGACUGUUUGGAAGACUGUGUAUACCAAUUGUAUAGAAUAGAUUAUUUUUAAUUUUGAAACCAGUGGAGAAAUGAACAGCAUCCUCGAAGGAACCAGGAGGGUGGGGAAAAAUAAUAAUUUGUGAGAAAUUAAAAAAUAUAUAUGGACAUUUUUGUCUUCCAUGAUUCAUUCUACCUAAUGCAUUUUUAAAUUUGGCUGUGAUAUUUAAUUUAAUGUAGUAAUCUUAUAAAGACAAAUAUGAUGCUGGGCUUUUCCUAUGAGUCAGAACCAUUUUUUCGUACCUAAGUGCUUGUGGUUACUUAUUUUAGAUGUAAGCAUCAGGGACCGCCAGGUGGCCCAGUGAUUAAGUUCACAUGUCCUGCUUCAGCAGCCUGGGGUUCACCGAUUUGGAUCCCAGGUGUGGACCUAUGCACUGCUUGUCAAGCCAUGCUGUGGAAGGCGUCCCACAUAUAAAGUAGAGAAGAUGGGCACAGAUGUUAGCUCAGGGCCAGUCUUCCUCAAAAAAAAGAAAAGAAAAGAAAAUCAGAAAAUGUCCAAAAGUACAUAAAUUUUCUAAUCAUUUGCUUCAUUUUUAUUAAAUUAGAUUUUUCUAAAAGGCCUGAUGAUACACAAGCCUCAAAGAGGUCAUAUACCAGAGAAAGUCAAUAAAGCCUUGAUAACCUAAUCACUUGCAUCUUAAAUUUCUGCAAACUUCUUGUGUAAAUAACAGCACAUGGAGGCAAGAGAAAAAUUCCAUUUUAUUUCUGUUAGUCUACAGUGUCUUCAACAAAUGUGUGCCAGUUGAUUUGACUGAAAACUUGGGGGAUUUUUAAAAUAAACAUCAAGCUCUUUGUAGCAGCAGUGCCCUUCUUGGCUGCUGGAUGUUCCAGAAAUGCUAUAUAGUACUGGUUCCAGAGAUUAGACAUUUUCUCUACAAGAAAUAAGAAAGAAGUGUGGGCAAGAAAAGUUGGAAUUUGGUUUUUGAUAGCUCCACUUCUCAUUGGGAUGGAUGGACUCAUUUUCAGAGAAUAGGGGAGACUGGCCUGAAGGCUAGUGCUCUCAGGAGUGAGGUAUCAGCAUGUCACAGUGUGGCGCAUUCCCUCACCCCUCCUCCACGUGUACAGAAAUGGAGUGGAACUUCUUUCUGGUGGUGAACACCCUGGGCCAGGAGCCUAGUGAUUAUUGCUUCCUUCUGAAUAGAAACGGAAAUUGUUUUACCACUGUUUCGUUGGUUGAAAGGUCUUGGACAUUAGGUCAGUGACACCCUCCAGGGAGGUAAAAUAUAGCAAGGGCAAAAAUCCAAUGCCAGCUAAGGGAACAAGGAUUUGAUUUCCUCUGGGAACUUCCAAUUGCCUUCCAUUCCUCCCUCUCCCCGCCUUCUCCAGCUUAUAACUUCUGGAUUCAAUAAUAGCUACUGUUCAUUCUUUUUGGCUUUUCCUGUACUUUUCCAAACAGCCUCAGUUUUUCCAAGUAGAUGUCUCUUCCUUCCUUGAAUGUUAAAAGAUGUAUUGAUUUCAUCUGAGCAAUCAGAGUAGUACAACAAUAUUUUUGCUUUAGGUUUCUGAUGAAAUUUGUAUUUAAGACCUCUUAGUUUUUUCUCAUGAAGAAAAAUCAUUCCAGGUGGCAUUUAGGAGCACAUGAAGCAUAUUCACAGGAGGAAAGAAAGAAGCCUGUUUGUCCUCCUGCUUUUCCUCCUGGAGCUCAGCUCAGGUUUGGCUGCCAGAAGGAAAUGCUUCUCAGAGCAAUUUUUGUGUGGUCUAAGAUUUGAGGUCAGGCACUGCCUUUCUGCUUCUUCAAAAAAUAUUUUCUGUAUAAGUGAUUACAAGUCCAGAAAUCUAGAAAUUUGUUCUUGUUUUGCUUUUGUUGCCAACACAUAGUGACCUUAAAUAAGUCACUAAUAAUUGAGCCUCAGUUUCCGUCUUUGUCAAAUGGAGAUAACAAUCACUGGCCUCCUGCCUCAUGGCCUUGAUGUAGAGGUCAAGUGAGAUUGUAAAGAAAAACACAGAAAUCUCUAGAACAUCACAUAUAAUACGACAAUUUAAGAGGCUAUACUUUGUAAACUCUAAGGAGAUAUAUAAAAGCAAUUAUGCUUCCUGAUUAUAAUUGCUCCUUAGGCGUACUGAGAACAUUGGCUAACCUGCAGGCUUAGGAAGAGCAAUACUGCACACAUAUGGUUGCUGCUUUUCUGUUCUUACUAGACCACACUCCUUUUUUGCAUGCCCUUCCAGCAGGCUUCCUUCUCACAAUGGCUCAGUUUCUUGUCUGCAGCCAUAAAACCAAGACUUUCAUAACUUAAGUGCAAAUGCUUAAGUUCAAUAAAUAUAGGAACAUUCCUGGAAACUCAUCCAAAAUAUCUUUAUUGCCUUCAUCCCCUGGAACCCAAAGGCCCUCAUAUUAUUUUGAGAGAUAUGUCCUAGGAAGAUGGGGCUUACUUAAAGCUCAUAUGGGAUGCAAAUCAAUGAGGGAGAGAAAAAGUCACCUUCUUAUAUCUCCCUAGUUGGACCACCACAAAUUAUUCUCUUGGAACAUUACAGUGUGAGAAAAUCUGUGAGGGCUUAAAGUUCAUCUUGCUUUAGCUUCUUUAUAGCUAAAUAACCUUCAUAUGUAUAGAAAGCCUGAUAUUUUCCUGUUAAAUUUUGGCCUGAAGAGAUAUAACUGGCUCCCUACCAUGUGGUAGUGCCAAAGCAAGGUCAAGAGAACUAAGCAAACAAAAACUUUGACGUGAAUAUUGUUUCAUCUUUUUCCCAACCCCACAUCAAAAUUGUCACUUAUACAAGGCAAGUCCCAUGAACACUCAUCUGAUUUUGAAUUGGCCUGGAGGAUAGUCAUUCCAGAACCCAUUGACACUGGCAUCGUUGUUUCCUCCAUUGAAAGCACUUCAAAGGUUUGUCACACUGCUUCAGAUCCAUUUUCAUCCAGAAGGUAUAGUAUUACUGUGAUUAGUGUUUUGUAUCUUCUCAUUUGAGUACAAAAAACAAAAAACCCUAUUAGGUAGAUUGUAUUUUUCACUUUUCAAAUUAAAGUAAUUUUAAGUAAAUCAAGGCUAUAAAUCAAGAAACGUACUUAGUGUUCAUCCAAAAGCAACAGGAUGCACAUACUUCUCAAGCACACAUAGAACAUUCUCCAGGAUAGAUCAGAUGUUAGGCCAAAACAAAUCUUAAUAAACUUAAGAAGACUGAAAUCAUACCAAGCGUCUUUUCUGACCACA